UAGUAAUCGCGGAUCAGCAUGCCGCGGUGAAUACGUUCCCGGGCCUUGUACACACCGCCCGUCACACCAUGGAGUUGUAACACCGAAGUCAGUAUCCUAACUGCGAAGGGGGGAGCUGCCGAAGGUGGGAUAAGCGACUGGGGUGAAGUCGUAACAAGGUACC
rnacentral:rRNA from 1 species